rfam:Pteropus alecto contig44845, whole genome shotgun sequence.
GACUAUGGCCAUGCUACCCUGAACAAGCCUGAUCUCAGAAGCUAAGCAGGGUCGGGCCUGGUUAGUACUUGGAUGGGAGACCACCUGGGAAGACUAGGUGCUAUAGGCG